CCGAGUUUACAACUCCCAAACCCAAUGUGAACGUUACCAAACUGUUGCCUCGGCGGGAUCUCUGCCCCGGGUGCGUCGCAGCCCCGGACCAAGGCGCCCGCCGGAGGACCAACCAAAACUCUUAUUGUAUACCCCCUCGCGGGUUUUUUACUAUCUGAGCCAUCUCGGCGCCCCUCGUGGACGUUUCGAAAAUGAAUCA
rnacentral:misc_RNA from 1 species